AGGUGCGAGGUGUCAACGGCUGCACGCCGGUCUCCAAAACCGGAGGAGCGGGUUCGAGUCCUGCCGCGUCUG
rnacentral:tRNA from 1 species